UCAGAUUCCACAAAUGAGGGCAUUCUGGCCCAAGGUGGCAGGCCGAACUCAAUGAGAAACCACUAUGCUCUGGAGGCAGCUGCAGGUGGAUAAGUGAGGAUCAGUCAUGUUAGACAUGGGAUUUCUGCCUGUGACUUUGGGGUGUCCUCCUGAAAAAUACCCACUUUGUGAUGCACAUGGCUGGGAUCAUUGGCAGUGUCAUGUCCUGGAUUUUCUGAAAGUAACCAACCUGACUUUUGCUUCCCUAGCCUUCCAACGUUUGUGGAAUCUUCCAGUCCCCUAUAUUAAUCUUCUUUCUUCUCAGAAAUACCUAGAUUUGCUUUUGAUUUUGUGAUAUAACCCUGACUGAUACAGAAAGAAGCUCAUGGACUUCUGGGGGAAAAGGGGAUCAGAAGGUCAAAGUGAUGUCUGUCUACAGCCUGGCCCCAGAAAUCCCUAACUGACACUGAUAGAGAAAAACUACUGAUCUUCAGGCAGAACCUGAAGGCCCAGCUUUUUUCACUCAAGGUUUCUGGGUUAUUGGAACAGUUACUUUGCAUAAGCAGGUGACCAGAUAAUGGGGGAGGGGGCAUUUCUCCACAUCCCAUGGAACCCCUGGAUUCAGCUCACUGAGUGUCUUAGAAACACAGCAAAGAUAUGAGUGGCCUUUGGAGAUGGGGGUACUGGUACCCAGAGAAAGCCCCAGCAGUGCCCUGGGAGUCUAAUACAGAAGAUCCAGCCAUGUCCAGUAAGCAUGAGCCAGAGAAGGGGAUGAGAAUAAAACUGAUGUUGGACACCAACUGACAAAGCACUCUGCAAGGUUUAUUCCUAAGCAUUUGUGAGAAAUACUUGGAUACACAACAAAAUAACUUGUGAAGGGAAAAGGUGUUCUUGCCAUGAUCUGGCCUUACCCACAUUGGGAAACGUGUGAAUUUCAGACCAAAGACCAACUCCUACAAAGUGUACUCCAGGUUGAAUGACCCGGACUUGGAGAAUUGUUCUUCUGGGAGGUGUGGCGGAUCCCACUGUGAGAAAGAACCUGCAGGAAGGGGCCAAGGCUUCCUGAAAGAGUCAUCAUGACUCCAACACUGGACCAUAUUCUGACCACUAGAGGAACUGAAUUAGAGUUUCACUGAUGACAACUCCAUGCUGUUUGGGAUCAGCCAGACUUGACAAAACAUGCUGACACACCAAUCACGUGUCACAACACCAGACUCACAGACAACAUUUUCAUGGACACUGAGCCACUUCUGCUUUUAUCCUGUCCUCCUCCACUUCUAGCCUUCAGACACUUGGUGCCUCCCUGAGGAUACACCAACACUUCAAGAACACAGAGUGCACCUGGAGUCGGCUGAGUAGUCCUGUGUCCUGAAAUAACUGCUCGACGUUCCCAGAGCCAGUAAAUGGGAUUUGGGACAUUUUUGUCAUGAAGUCACAAUGUGGGACUAUAAAUGUCUUGCCUUUAAGGGUAGGGUCUUCCCAUGACCCAUCCAUAACAUUUGUGAAAAUGUUGUGUGUUGUGCGUUUUGGAGAGAAGAAUUUUCAUUAUCUUCACAAAGGGAUCUGUUACCCUAAAAGAUUUAGAAUCACUCAGCUUAUUGGUAAGAUGUGCCUAUUCUUUUAGACUCCAGGUGAGGCUUGAUCUCCAGUCUCAAAAGGAAAUAUAUGAUGUCAUCAGACCCCUAGUAAGGUAUUUCUGAAUGUAUGAUAUC
rnacentral:lncRNA from 1 species